GCUAUAAGUCUGUGAACUAAAGUGACUGCGUGGGGUCCCACCGGACCGGAGGACCGUGGACCGCUUCCACACCGAUCCCAGGCGCCAGGUAAGAGACCCUUGUCUCUAUUUGGGCUUCGGUGGGGAGCUGCCCAUAGGCUCUGGGUUCAGGUAAGGGCGCGCUGUGAUCCGAACCUUUUGAGGUAAGACUCAUUUGCCUGACGCCUGUUCGUUUUGUGUGUGUCUGUUCUGUAACUUGUCUGUUUAAAUUCUUGCAUCAUGCUGCGCUCUCUUAGGCUGUAAGCUAGGGGGGAGGGCGUAGGGGACUGUCUGUUUUGUGGUGUGUACACGAGGUCUUAGACCCAACGGUUUCUUUGAAACAGCCUCGGUGAAAUUACUGGGACAUCCGUCUGGCAGUUAAACACUUUUAGAGUGCCAGCCCAGAAUAAAAACAAGUUUCGGAUGACAGGAGAUUAUUCAGGCAGGAACAAAGGCUGAAUAGGCUGAGUGAUCUCUCUGGGACAUAAAGGAAACCACCACUGACUCAAGAACUGAGUGGCCCGAGGACUAAAGCAGUCCUGCCACUCACGGAAACCAGAGACUGGGUCUGCAUAGGGGUCCAUCAGCAAAGAACUGCCCUGGCCCCAUGCUAAGGAACUCUUGUCCGCUGACAAAUCCAUUAAGCCUUCGGACCUUGCUAAGAAAAACAACUUCUCCGCCUGAGGCCAUAAUAAAGCCUCCAACCAAGCAAGGUGAUUGUGCUGGUAACCCCUCCCUUGCAGCCUCAUUGCCGGACAGCUAAGUGAACUGAGACUACGAAAUCUUGAAGAAUAGCUUGCGGAAGCUAGCCAAAACUACCUAAAGAUGAAACUUUUAAUAUUUUUCAGCCUCUCCUCCUUAACGAACUUGGGGUGGGGAGGGAAAAAGUAAUUUUUGUAUUGUUUUUGUGUUUUUCUAAAUCUUGGCCAAUCAGUAGCCUUCGGUUUGGCCUGUGUCGUAUUGCAGUGUAUUCUGGCUCUAUAUGGUUGCCCAUUGUUGUAGUCCCCGCUCCCCAGCUACUCCCCCUUGUAUCUUCUCCAAUUCCCAUACAAAUCUGUCUGGCCAUAGCCUCAGGAAAAAUUCAAGCCUCGGAACAACGAAAGUGGUAUAGCACAUCCUACCGAUGGAAUUGUUGUUUACAGUGGUAAAUUGUGCUAAAUGCUAUUAUAAGAACCACCACUUUCUCAUUUCCCCCUCUGCUUUCCAAAUAACUACCUAGUACCCUGAUUGUUUUCAAAGAGCGGCCAUUCAACUGGCCCAGCUUGUGCAGUGGGAAAGUUUUUAUCAAGGAAGGAGAGGUUUGGUGGAAGGAGCUUUGCAUGGCCUAACUAAAGUAGCCGCUAUUUGGACAAUAAAUAAAACAUCUGUUGUAUGUACCUUCCAAGCUUCGGAACCGGUAAAUGGCACCUGGGCUCCAGUGCACUUACUUGUGCCAAAACCCUGGGCGAAUUGUCUAUGGGACUGGGUUAUCCACCGGCAGGUAUGGGAAGUUAAACCACCCCAUGAACCUAGCCAUUUCAUCACCACUCCCUAUGAUUUCGCUGCUCAUCAUAUCUGGGUGGGUAUCGGAACCUUGUGGUCAUUAUGGCCCUUGGAACCCCCACAGCUAUUUUGCCUCCGCAAAUUGCAUCCUGGGAAAAUAAUCAAUGUAUUGGAUAUGGCCUGUUGGGAAGAAGAAGCAAUUAAAAAGGACCCAAAGGAAAAUUAUUGUUUAGCAAAAAGAAUGGGUGUGCCCUGCCAUCUCAGCCCCAAAUCCCCAUUCCAUACAGUCUUAACUUAACCACUGCACAAGGCAGCCGUUUAUUACCUGGCCUGGUAUGCCCCAAAUCUAUGUGUCCCUCAACCCAGCCAUCCCUCUUACUAAAGAAUUGGCUCAGCUUGUACCCAGCCUUUCCACUUCUAUAGUUGUAAAAAUUUUGCUUGGUAUUAUUUUAGCUGCUUAUUGUAAAUUGUUAAUUGCCUUAUUGUGCUGCUUAUGUAAAGUUUGUCUCAUAUCCCAGCCUCAGCCACAACCACCCCUCAGGACCCUGUUCUUUUCCACUGAUGUUAAUAAUCUUUCAGACCCAACUGUUAACCACCUUAGUAUAAACUUGUGUGCUAAGUAUUGCCCAAUGACCUCCAUUCUAAAUAAGAAUAGUAAUGCCUACCUGAAGACCCUGAAACAUCUUCCCUAGAAAUCUGCCAUACUGAGGACUUUCGUGGGUAAUGGGGUAGGCCUAAAAGCCUGAACCAAAAAUCAGUUUGUGAGGCUAUGCAAAAGUACCAACAGAGGAGGGAAUGACCCCCCAGCAGUACUGGUAAAAUAUGUUCAUGGCUAAUAAAAUAUAAUAACCGCUUGUGUGAAGCAAUAGGUAACUUUAGCUAAAUGCAAACUGACUCAUGCAAUUUCUCCUUUGCAUAAUCUAUGACCUAUUUCGAAAUUCCAGCUAUCUGCAAACUAGCCCCCCCUUAAGCCUUUGCUGAAAUCACCCGGAAAAUGACAUAGUCCAAGUCUUAAGAAAUGUACCAAAACUAGGGCCGAGUACCACCCCUGCGGAAACCACCAAGCGCCCUUCUACCCAAACAAACACCCACUCCUCGGAAAUUAGGUCAGAGGGUAGGGAGGGGGGUGAGAGGACUGACCCCAACCCCAACACCCUAGCUCGUGAUAUACAUGGGUUUCUGUUCUGGGGGCUCAUCGGUGGUGGGCUGUUGUUGGGCACCUGUGUAUGCUAUUGUUGCUGCACACGUUGCCAUCCCCGACCUGCAGUAUUGUCCUUCCUUCUACCACGCCCUCACCCCUUGCCCCUCGCCCCUUUGCGGACUUCUGUGUUGGAACCAGAAGAUCCAGUAUAUGACUCACUGGAAAUACCCUACUGUGACAAAUAUAAAACGCCCCUGGGAAAAAAAAAAAAAAACCUGAGGUCCAAGCUUUAAUAAACAUUCAUAUUAAGGGAGUUGAUGCUGUUGAAUUAGCAUCAAGAGGAGGGAGUUGUUGAGGAUUUUCGGGGACCCCCAUAUGCCUUACUCUGAAUUAUAACCUAUUGCUAAAGCUAGCAACAGUAGGCCGUGGCAGGCCUGCUUAAUAUUAAAGGUAUAAGCAAGAUUUGUAAUACGCUUGUGUGGCACAAUGCAAAACCUGUAUGGCUCAAUCAAAAGGCCAACAGGAGAAAAAGGGGAACCAACGCCUACUGGUAGUUGGGUAACCUAACCUAAGAUAGCAGUAGUUUAGCUAUGGAAAAUUAAUAAGGCAAAAGAGUCUUGUACAGUAAAACCGCAAGAGGGGGGCCGGGCAGAAGCCUCUAGCAAUAACAGGAAAAACCCUAAAUGGUAUCGGAUCCAAAGCGCGGCCCCCAGAGAGGCUUUGAUUGGUUUGCUAGCAAAUAUACCAAAUAAGGCUGAUAAGAUUUGUAAUGCUUGAUUACGCGUUGUGGUUUUUAUCUUUAUAAGCUUAAAGCUGUGUGAUUUAUGCAAGGGCGGCUGACCCCCUUGCAUGGGGAUACGCCGACCUUCCCUUUAUGCAUAAUUGUAUUGUGUAACCUAAUAAAGGUGCAUCAGUGUGUCUGACCCAA